rnacentral:rRNA from 1 species
CCUACGGGAGGCAGCAGUGAGGAAUAUUGGUCAAUGGCCGUAAGGCUGAACCAGCCAAGUCGCGUGAAGGAAGAAGGAUCUAUGGUUUGUAAACUUCUUUUAUAGGGGAAUAAAGGUAUCCACGUGUGGAUAUUUGCAUGUACCCUAUGAAUAAGCAUCGGCUAACUCCGUGCCAGCAGCCGCGGUAAUACGGAGGAUGCGAGCGUUAUCCGUAUUUAUUGGGUUUAAAGGGUGCGUAGGUUGUUUUUUAAGUCAGCGGUGAAAGUUUGUGGCUCAACCAUAAAAUUGCCGUUGAAACUGGAAGACGUGAGUGUGUUUGAGGUAGGCGGAAUGCGUGGUGUAGCGGUGAAAUGCAUAGAUAUCACGCAGAACUCCGAUUGCGAAGGCAGCUUACUAAGCCAUAACUGACACUGAAGCACGAAAGCGUGGGGAUCAAACAGGAUUAGAUACCCUUGUAGUC